GGUCGCGUAGCUCAGUUGGUAGAGCACUACCUUGACAUGGUAGUGGUCGUUGGUUCAAAUCCAAUCGUGGCCACCA
rnacentral:tRNA from 2 species